rnacentral:rRNA from 1 species
UACGUAGGUGGCAAGCGUUGUCCGGAUUUACUGGGCGUAAAGAGCGCGCAGGCGGUCGUUCAAGUCGCGUGUGAAAUCCCUCGGCUCAACUGAGGAACUGCACGGGAAACUGCCUGGCUUGAGUUCGGGAGAGGGAAGCGGAAUUCCGGGUGUAGCGGUGAAAUGCGUAGAUAUCCGGAGGAACACCGGUGGCGAAGGCGGCUUCCUGGACCGACACUGACGCUGAGGCGCGAAAGCUAGGGGAGCAAACGGG